rnacentral:lncRNA from 1 species
UAUCCCAACUGCAACAGCAGAGAAGGUGAAAAAAGGUAUGCUCGAGGGUGUUGAAGCUGCACUUGGCCGACCGAAAGGUUCACUUCAGAAGCCCAUUUAUACUCGAGUCCAUUUAUGGUAAGACUCCACUUUUAAGGACAUGACCUUGUAAUUUCAUUUUUUUAUCUUGUCCAAUUUGGAUCCUUGUAACCUACUUGACCUGUAAAUAUUUGCUGUUGGUGUUGGUUUAGAAUGAGUGGUUGAUUUGAACAAGCUUAAAAAGUUAUUGUGUGGACUUGUGUAUAGUCCUAGUUCUAUUUUCCUGUUACGCUCAUUUUUAAAAAAAGAUGGAACAUGUCAUUCCAAUUUAUUAAAUAAAUAAAACAACUUCAGAAUUUCAUGAUUAAGAAAAUAGUUCCUAUGUGAUGAAUUAGGUAUUUAUUUAUUUAUAUAUCUAUUUUAUUUAUUUAUUUUUUUGGGGGGGAAAUGUGUAGGGGUGCAGCUCUUCCAACUAAUACUCCAAGUAUUCCAUGUAUGGGGAUUGGCUGUUGGGUUCAAGUGUAGAGUCAGCUGCAUUGAGUGGCAUGGCUCUUGCCAAUCAUGUAAGCAAGAAUAUGAUUUUCAUUUGCUUAUUUGGUUUUAUUUUGUGCAUGUAACUAUAUAUUUCAUGGUUGAUAUAAAAAAAUAAAAUAAAUCUAAGACACUUCCGGUAUAUGUGGCGAUUGGCUGUUGGGUUCAAGCGUAGAGUCAGCUGCAUUGAGUGGCAUGGCUCUUGCCAAUCAUGUAAGCAAGAAUAUGAUUUUCAUUCCCUUCUUGCUGCAUUUGAGGACCCCCUCCCACUGGGCAGUGCAUCAACAUUUGAAGGCGCCUUUGUGAAAGGUGUUGAUUCUGUCUCAUGGAUGGCAAAUAACUCAGCAAAACUUUUGAAUUCUCAGAGUGAUGCUCCUCACUGUUGGACCUUCUUCAGCACCGCAGCUUACGGAAAACAAAACAAGGUUCCACAGGUCAGUUUGUAUAUAAAUGUGGGUGUUGUUUAAAGUACUUGCUUACACAUGAUAAUAUGCUAGCAUUGGCACACUUUUUAACCAAUUGCCUAGAUUUGAAUCCAUUCAUGCUUCAGCUUGAACUCCAAGCUAUAGAAACAAGGCUGCAAUAAGUUCUGUCUAUUUGUGCAUAUUUAUGUUCCCUUUUAUACUUGAAUCAAUAUGACAUUUCAAUUUUACACCGAACUUUGGUGCUGUGUAGAUACGUAUAUGUUGCAAUUUAGGCUUUCUGCAAGAUUUUUUAUGAUUUUUUUUUUUAUCAUUUAUUAGGAAAAUAUCCCAACUGCAACAGCAGAGAAGGUGAAAACAGGUAUGCUCAAGGGUGUUGAAGCUGCACUUGGCCGACUGAAAGGUUCACUUCAGAAGCCCAUUUAUUCUCGAGUCCAGUUAUGGUAAGACUCCACUUUUAAGGACAUGACCUUGUAAUUUCAUUUUUUUAUCAUGUCCAAUUUGGAUCCUUGUAACCUACUUGACCUAUAACUAUUUGCUGUUGGUGUUGGUUUAGAAUGAGUGGUUGAUUUGGACAAGCUUGACAAGUUAUUGUGUGGACUUGUGUAUAGUCCUAGUUCUAUUUUCCUGUUACGCUCAUUUGAAAAAAACAUGGAACAUGUCAUUCCAGUUUAUUAAAUAUAUAAAACAACUUGAGAAUUUCAUAAUUAAGAAAAUAGUUCCUCUGUGAUGAAUUAGGUAUUUGUUUAUUUAUAUAUCUAUUUUUUUUUUAUUUCUUUUUUUUUGUUGGGGGGGGGUGGAAGGGCCGGUAUAUGUGGCGAUUGGCUGUUGGGUUCAAGCGUAGAGUCAGCUGCAUUGAGUGGCAUGGCUCUUGCCAAUCAUGUAAGCAAGAAUAUGAUUUUCAUUUGCUUAUUUGGUUUUAUUUUGUGCAUGUAACUAUAUAUUUCAUGGUUGAUAUAAUAAAUAAAAUAAAUCUAGGACAACCAUUCUAUCCCUAUAUGGACAUCUAAAUAUAAUUUGUAGAUUGGCUUCAAUCAGAUUGAAAAAUCAGACAAGUUUCAACAACAUUAGCUUGAUGCUUGAUUAUUCUUAUAUAAAUAACGUAAUUGGUCUAUGUAGAUUGCAGACUAUUUAGGAAGUGAUGGAGUUCGUCCUGAGGAAUUUGCUGUCGGUUUACACAAAGACUUUCAGUCGCUCCAAGGACAUGAUAUUGGACAAUUCCCGGGUUUGGAGUCCAUGGAAAAAGAGCAAGUUCAAGCAUAUCAGCUUACUUCUUGAAUCCCUAAGCAGGCCACGAAAAUUUCUAGAGUUUUUCAAGGUAUACUUCUAUUCAUACACUGUUUAUGGCUUUCUGUUUUUCACUUGGGUUACUGUCAUGUUAAUUCUCUUGGUUUUUAUAGCUAGGAUUAAGAAGUUUAUUCACAAAAUGCAGUUAUUGGCAUAGUUGCUAAGCAAGCAUCCUGAAAUUCUUUUUGUGAUACCAUCCAUUACGAAACGUAAUGAAUACAGAAGCAAAGGAAAGCGGAUUCUUCGGGCAGCUAAAUCCUUGCAGAAAACUUGUUUUCAGUAGCAUAGGUGACAGGAAUCGUGAUAUUUCCCCGGCUUUCAUGGAAGAAAAAUAAAAAAUUUCUAAUAACUGUAACCCUUUUGAGUUCUCCACAAAUCAGUUUGAAUAUGAAGCCAAAUAUCAGAUGCAUAUUUACAGGCUUCUUUCAGAGCAACAAAGUUUAAUGCUAUCAGUUGUUUUGGGUUCAAGUGAUCAGAGCUUCAUCCGGCACAAGCACGCCAAACAGAGUAUGAAAAAUUUUGAAACCUACAGUUAAAAAUUCUCAAGUUCCGUAUUUGACCUGUAGUCACAUUCAAGUUUAUACAUGACUACUGAUAUAUGAAAUGGCAUUUUUAUUCAGUUCCAGAAAAGUCGCAUGCAGAGGAUUUAAAUUUCAUAUUAAUGGAAUGGUUUUGAGCUUCAUUAUUAGAUUUUUUUUUUCAAAAUAAUUAAUGGAGUUAACAUUACUUAUUACAGGAAAAGAAAGAAAGAUUAAUUCUCCAUGGGAAAAGCGUUGAAAGAAGCUUCUCAUGAGCGCAAUCAGUCCCUCAGUUGCUUACCAUGGUAUCUUUUCCAUACUUUCACACAUGUUGAUAAAAUUCUUUCUUGGUUAAAUAAUUUGGAGAGAGAGCUGUUCAUUGGCAACACAAGCAACAAAAUAUCACACACAAAUUAAUUCCAACAAAAAUAAUAUUUUUACACGAGAGACUUGUGUGAGAGAAGAGGGUUAAUUAGAUGAUUACUAUUGAGAUCACAAGUUAGAGCGAAAUGAACACAGGCAAUUGAACAAGCUGUGACAGAGUCUGUGAUACAACUCUGCAACUCAGAGUUUAUAUCCUAGAUUUACACUUUUCGAGUAAGUGCUGACUCCAGCAAAAAGAAGCAAAAGAAUUGAAAUUAAUGGAGAAACAGAGAUAGCAGGAGAGACGGAGAGAGAGAAGAAGAAAUAUUUGCCAUUUUCUUGCUUUCUAUGACGUGUUCCCCUCUACAUAUAUCUUUUAACCCCUCAACAUUACACGUGUAACUAACCAACAAAUGAAUGAUUCAAAGAAAAAACAGUCACAACAAAAUAACAAAAUCACAGCUGCCAUCUUUUCCACUCUCUUUGUGCCUUCUCGAAUAUUCCUUAGGUAAUGUAAUCUUUGAGGUAUGUUGGUGCCCUGCGCAUACGAGCUGGACCUUUUGUGUGCUCCUCAACCAGCUGGGCUUCUUUCUCUGUUUCCCAUGCUGACUUGUCAUUAAUCUCGGGCAAGGUUGUAUCAGUCUGUCCAGCUGAAGAAAUUGAAAACUCUUUGGCAUUUGUCUGCAAGCUUUAAAGCCGUCCGAAAACCAUUGUGCUUCUGCUUGAUAGCCAGCAACAAAAACAAGAAGAAGAACCCAGUACAGUUGCAGUUUCUAGUUUUUCAUGCUUGCCAUCUUUUCGUUCUUGAGAUUGAAAUGAUUUAAGAUUUAUUUAAAGGGUCUUUAUCUUAGUAUGCAAUUAAUGGUUUGAAAACAGAUUAUAUGCUAUUACAAGUGAAUUUUCCUGAUAACGAUUGCUUGACUAGGAUUCUUGUCGUAGUAUAAAUUAUUAAACAUGAUUUUAUAAUUAAUGAUUCGUACAUUAAGUGAAAUAGAAACCAGGAUUUGAAAACUACUUUGUUGGUAAAAUCGCUUGAAGCAACAGCCUAAAAUUAUCAGAUGGUGAGAAAACAGGAGAUGAUCUACCAAGAGAGUAAUGAAGUUUUCUAAAGUCCAACUGAAAUGAUUUCAGGAUUCGCUUCAACAAUGCAAAAAUAUAUUUGAUAUUUCAAAUCUAUGAAAUUCAUUUUCUUUAUCGUUAUCUUGGACGUAUCACAUGUCAAAAUGCAUUAAUUACCGAUGCUAGCACUUGAAAUAAAAAAAAUCAAAUGGUAAGUAUUUUUAUAUUACAUACUUGAUUGUACCCCAAACCCAAUUUGUAAGACAUGAAGAAGAAAUCUCUUUUAUAGAGUUAUUUCCAAAAUGGCAGAAUCUACCAUCUUGAACCAAAGUAUAUCAUUAGAACAAGGAGGAGGAUUAAGGACAUUCUAUUUCGAGAGCUACCUGAUAGGGUACUUCAUUCUUGACAGAGUACUGGCCUUCGUUGUCAUAUUGCCACCGAAUCUGAACUUCUUUGAGGAAAUGAAUGCUUUGGUGGAAGAAGACCUUGAGCAAGAAAGAGACCAACAUGAAAUAGAGAUGAAGAAAAUCUCUAAUUAUGCAAAUAUGGUCUGAUUGGCUUGUGAGAUAACUAACCAAACUAAUCACUACUUUCAAUCUCAAUUAAAUUCCAACAAACAAUCUAUUUGCUAUACGAACUUAGGUGGUGAUCAACCAAAUAAAGUUGCCUGAAAACUGCUCCGACGAAACUCUGGGGAUAUAGUACAUUGUUUGUUGAUAUUGAAUGGGUAAACAGAAUAUUAGAAGCCCUUGCUGAAAUUUGACGGAGAUUGAAAGUAGUGAUUAAUUUGGUUCGUUAAAACUUACAAGCCCACAAGACCAAUUUGAUUAGUUAGAGAUCUUCUUCCACCAAGCAUCCACUUCCCCACAGGAUUUCAUGGCAGCUAAUUGUAUGCGGAUCGAUCUUCAAUUUGCCGUCUCAGAGUAUGAAACAUGAUCCAACAUUAUCACAGCCUAGCACUAUCUAAGUAGGUUUCUCUUUUAACCUUGCACGUUAUAAAGAUUGAGUAUAUAUAAAUAAAAUUGUACUUCGAAAAUUGGCUCUUGCCCUCAAUACGUGUUAAUCCAUGAGUUAGUUGGCUUUGUCCUGUUCAGUAUCGCUGCCUAGUAGGUGUGGCUUUUAAGCAACAACUUCGGUUUAUGACUUUGUAUUUGAUGAAAAAAAAAAUUUACUCUCACCUUUUUUUUUUCCUCCAAAUUAUUAUUUUUAAAGCUUUAAAAAUCAUAUUUAUCAAUUACUUUCAACUUUUAUUUCAUUGCAAUUGUAACUUAAUUUUAAGCCACAACACUAAAUAAAUCCUCCGCAAUUAAUGGUCUCUUUAACCUUGAAAUAUAUUUUUUUUUUAUAUAAUCACGAGGUAUCUUGGGGGGCCCAACUGUGGGAGGCACCUUUAAGCCCGUAUCACAACUCAGACUAGAAGUCUCCGCUCGAACCGGGAGGCACGGGUUCUCCCAACAAAGACGACUUCCCUGCGACUCGAACUGGGGAGCAAACCAAGUCAAGCCACUUAAGGGGACUCCAUUGCCAAUGGAGCCAACACUUUAUUGGUUAACCUUGAAAUAUUAAUAACAAAACUACUCACCGUCUGUCACCAUGAGCCACCACGAACCACCAUCGGCAUUCAUAUUUAGGUAUCUUCUGUCAUUAAUUUUAUACAUUAGAAUCUUCAAACUUUUGAUAAUGUAGCAAAAAAUGCAUAAACAUUGUAAUUAGUGUUAUGCAAUGCAUUUCAUUUCAAUUGCCUAUGUGGCAAACAUACUUUUUAGGUGUUGAAAUUGGGCAAAAGUUACACUAUAAAAAUAUUUGAUAAACACUUGAUACUAUAAUUUAAAAAAUAAGUUGAGAUUUGUUUAAAAUAAAAAAAUAAAAAACAGCAGUUAGACUUGAGUUUAACUUGAGAUUGAUUGAUAUAUAUAUAUAUAUAUAUAUAUAGCAAUGCUUUUAAGUUUUCUGAGUUUAAUUCAAAAUCUACCUCAAUUGACUUCAAUUAAAGUCAUGUGCAUCUGUUGGGCAUGGUUGAACUGGAGAACAGAAGGGAGUGAAAAAUUUUACGGGCACAUGUGUGAAAUUUUGCUUACGUACUUGAUCAACAUGUUUUGGUUUCCUUCUUAUUAUUAUUAUUAUUUUUAUUUUUGGCAAUCCUCAGUAACUAUGAAAUGAAAGUUGGUUGUAAUUAUGAAAUGAAAAGAAAAUAUCAAAUUAUAAUCGAUAGUUAAAACACAAAAAGUUACCUUUGCACUCUGAUGUAGUCUGGCAGAUAAUGAAGCAGGGAGAAAGAUUCUGAUCAUUUUCCCUCUAAACAAGCAUGAAAGUCCCAGUUCUGUAAGAUGUAUCAUUGGUAAUUUUCAAUUAUAAGCUAAUAUAUGAUAUUUUUUGGGUGGACAAAAUUAUUCAGGCCCUUAAAAUGACUUAUAAAUUAUAUUGAAAUUAAAUUUAAAAAUAAUUAAAAAAAUUUAAAGUUGGAACCCAAAAGAAGAAGAGGAACGAUUUACUCAUGACAAAAGAUAAAUAAAGGGUUGUCACCCAAACAAGAGGAUCGCACAUUCUUAGGGGAAAAUAUUUGGAGGAUUCACCAAAGAUGGUACCUGGGUUGUCAGCAUAACGAUUUGGGUGGCGAGAGGCAAAGAAAACAGAGGAUGUAGGUGAUUUAAUUAGACAAAUAAUUAGGAUACAUCGAACAGAGGAGAAGACAAUCGCAAAUUCGUUGGAGCAGUUGAUUUCGAUGAUUUGUUUAACGAAUCGGAUGGCGCUUUUGUAAAUGUAGUUGCGAACUGCAACCCACUAUUUGGGUGUUGAAAGUGUAGGAAUUCCUCAUGGCCGAAAGUAGAGGGAAUAGCGCCUGUUUUUUUUUUUUUUUUUUUUUUUUUUUUUUUUUUUUAAAAAAAUUUAAAGUUGGAACCCAAAAGAAGAAGAGGAACGAUUUACUCAUGACAAAAGAUAAAUAAAGGGUUGUCACCCAAACAAGAGGAUCGCACAUUCUUAGGGGAAAAUAUUUGGAGGAUUCACCAAAGAUGGUACCUGGGUUGUCAGCAUAACGAUUUGGGUGGCGAGAGGCAAAGAAAACAGAGGAUGUAGGUGAUUUAAUUAGACAAAUAAUUAGGAUACAUCGAACAGAGGAGAAGACAAUCGCAAAUUCGUUGGAGCAGUUGAUUUCGAUGAUUUGUUUAACGAAUCGGAUGGCGCUUUUGUAAAUGUAGUUGCGAACUGCAACCCACUAUUUGGGUGUUGAAAGUGUAGGAAUUCCUCAUGGCCGAAAGUAGAGGGAAUAGCGCCUUUUUUUUUUUUUUUUUUUUUUUUUUGAAUUCUGAUAUACAAGACUGUAGGUACUACAAUUAAUAUUUACAAACAGAUUCUAUAAUUGAGACCUUCUUCGUGGCAUGUACUCCUCUGAAGCGUUGCCCAAAUUUUUCAAACUCUCUCAAAUAUUCGAGGGUUGUCCACUCCACUCACAUUUCGUGAGGGAUAGACUGACUUCACUCAAUUAUUUGAUAAUUGAGAGAAGAUUAUAAAUAAGUCCCAUAAAUUUUUUUUUUUUUUAAUAGCGCGUCUGUUUGAUUUACUAUAUGCAGUACGAACCGGAUGAAGAAGGUAAUUCGUGGGAAAAAAAUAAUGGUUACUUGUGGUUGAAAUUUGAUGAAACUAUAGAUGGUUAUAUUUAUUCGAAGGUAUUAACUAACAUAUAAUAAUUUAUUGUUUGAACUCUUGACUCUUGCAUAAGAAAAUCAAUUGGUAGAGAAAAUUGUUCAUUGCCAAUUUAGUAAAAUAUUUGUUGGUCCCUUGAAAGGUAUAAGAAAUUUUUGGAGUAAAAAAUAUUUAAACAGAGUUGACAAUAUGGAGUUUAUGGAAAGAGCUUUUAAACAAAUCUCACCAUGUAAUUUUAAAUAAGGUUAAAAUCGUAAAUAUGAGAGGGGUUUUUAGAUGACUUUAGAGGGGUGCCAACAGCGCCACUUAAAUGCAAAGCCACUCUUACUUUACUCGUCUCUUAACGACCUAGGGUUCUUCUUCCACUCUCCAUUCUUUUGCUUGCCGACCUGAAAAUCCCUUCUCUUGUAUUCAAAUCUCAAAAAGUGCCAUUUUCGUCAUCGAAAAUAAGCAGAUCUACACCCUGUGUUGUAUGGUUGCAGUCCGUGUGAAGCCAUUGACGUCGAUGGAUGAUGCGGGGUUCUAACUGUCACUUUGAAAACAGUUAUGCCUAUUCUUCCUUGUACUGUAGAAGGCUCCUGUGACCUCAAAGACGUCACCAUGGAAUGGAAGCAUGCUGAAGGCUUAUCCGAUGGUUGGCAUAGAAGGUGGCAAGUUACUUGUAAUAGGCAAGCUGCAGAAGAAAGAUGACGUUUUCAAGGUCGCAGGAGCUUUCUACGGUUGGGGAAAUUUUUCCAUGCUGAAAAAAUAGACCUGUUGAAUCCAUUCGUACUUCAGCUUGAAAUCCCCCGCUACCCCCCCCCCCCCCCCCCAACAAAAAAAAAGAACAAGGCUGCGGUGAGUCCAGUCUUUUUGUGUAUAUAGACUUUGCAACAAGAUUAGCUUUAUUUUCCCUUUUGUUCUUGAAUCAAUACAAAACUUCAAUUUUGCAGGGUACUUUGGUGCAGCAUAUGUAGAUAUGUAUGUGUUGCUACUCAGGCUUUCUGCAAUAUUUGUAUAAUUUUUUAUAUAUCAUUUAUUAGGAAAGUAUCCCAACUGCAACAGCAGAGAAGGUGAAAACAGGUAUGCUCGAGGACUUCGCCUGCCAGAAGGUUCACUUCAGAAGCCCCUUAUACUCAAGUCCAAUUAUUGUAAGAUUCCACUGUUUGGGCAUUAUCUUGUGAUUUCAUAUUUAUCGUGUCCUGUUUGAAUCCCUGUGACCUACUUGGGCUGUGACUAUUUUCUGUUGCUGUAGCUUUAGAAUGAGUGGUUGACUUGGACAGCCUUAUCAAGUUAUUGUGUGCACUUGUGUGUAAGUCCCUAGUUCUACUUUCUUCUGAUACUCGUUUUUCAGACGAGAUGGAUCGUGUGAUUUCAAUUUAUUAAAUAUUUAAAACAACUUGAGGAUUUCAUAAUUGAGAAAAUUCUGGGUCCCUUUAUGUUGAUUUAGGUAUUUAUCUUUUUUUGUUUGGGAUGUAUAGGGGUGCAGCUCUUCCAACUAGUAUUCCAAGUAUUCAAUGUAUAUCUUUGAUCCCCGAGGAAGGGCUGGUAUAUGUGGUGAUUGGCUGCUGGGUUCAAGUUUAGAGUUAGCUGCCUUAAGUGGCAUGGCUCUUGCUGAUCAUGUAAGCAAGAGUAUGAGUUUCUUUUUCCAAUUUGGUUUUGUUUUGCACAUACAAAUGUAUAUUUCAUUAUUGAUAAUUAGUAUCAAAUUUAAAAAAAAAAAAAAAAAAAAAAGCAACACCACCUUUAUAUCCCUAUAUAUGGACAUUUAAAUAUAAAUUAGUGUAUUGGCUUAAAUGCAGUUCGAAAUAUAAGACAAGUUUCAAACAUAAGAUUAAAGCUUGACUAUUCAUAUAUAAAUAAUGUAAUUGUUCGAUGUAGAUUGCAGAUUAUUUAGGAAGUGGUGGAGUUGGACCUCAGGUGUUUGCUGUCAUUUUCCACAAUGAGUUUCUGGGUUUAGAGUCCAUGGAUAAAGAAAAAGUUCAAGCUAUCAACUUACCAUUUGAAUGCAAGCAGGCCAUGAAAAUUUCUAGAGCUGUCAAGAUAUGCUUCUAUCAACGCAUUGUUUAUGGAUUUAUUUCACUUGGGUUAUUCCCAUAUAUUAAUUGUCUUGCUUUUAUUACUGGGAUAAUUUGAUUGCAGUCAUCGAUGAGAGUAAUGCUUAUUUAUUGGUAAUUGAAAUAUUUUGCGAUCAACAGUGUCGCAUGUGUUCAUCAUUAUAUGUCUACACACACACACACACGCACAAAAUAUUUAUAUAUAUGUUUAUAUACCAUGACAAGGGCUUUGUGCGUUAUCAUUCAUUGCUUGUAGCCAUUGUGACACUUGAGUGUAUAUGCAACUUAGGCCAUAGCAAUCCUUUUUGGAAUGAAAUUUUGAUUUGAUUAUUGCCAUUUUUGUGAUUGAGUUAUUGUGACUUUUGGUUCAAAUAUCAUAGUUUUUAUGCUUUCAAAAUUAUCCUGCCACCAAAAUAGGACUCAACUUGAGUUAUUCAAACUUGUGAAACUUGAAUUUUGUGUUUCUAAGUUUUUGAAUUUUGUGUAUCUGAGUUGAGUGCUGAGUUGGUCAGCCACAUCCAUGCAAUGAUUCGUUGUAUUUAUUUUGUUUAUUUUAAUAUGCUUUGCUUUAUCGAGGGAAUCAUGGCUUGGGAGGAAGAACGGAAACCAGAAUGAUAGGUCCUCAACCACUGAUAUUUGAUCAUGCUGCUCAAUUCUUUACCGUGAAUGAUUCUUGGUUUGGUGAGUUGGUUGAUGGUUGGUUGGAGAGAGGUCUGGUGCAUCUGUGGAGAGCUUGAAGUGGGUGGUCAAUUCACCCCAUUUCCUUCUUCACUUCCAAGAUACAUUGGUAUUAAUGGGAGCGCCUUCUUGCCGACUCUUGAUUGGCCCAGGUGACAAAUCUACGUUUGCUUUUGUGUUAAUCCUUUUGUUGAUUCUUUUAUGCUUCUUUGCAUAAACAAUGGGGGAAUAUUGUUUAAUUAAAUCACAAUGGUAAGCAACUACUAUAUUUUUUUGAAGUUUGCUGGUAGGUAGGGUUGCAACUUGGCUUGAUCCUCCCAAGUGCAGUUCUAUGCUAAUGAUUCAAAGUCCCAAAAUCAUCACAGUUUUGAGGUUUAAUUGCACAAGGAAGAUCAGAAGCGAAUUUUACAUUGUCAUGUGAUUUCAAUUGCAUAGGCUGCAUGGGUGACAUAAUGAAAUACUGGCUAUAAAGAUUGUAACUGAGUAAAAGAAAACUGGCACAAACAUUUUGCACCACUGUAUUAUUAAUACAAUUCCUGCGAAAUAACAAGCUUCUAUAUGCAGCAUUAAUAGUGAAUGGAGUUAGGUGUAAACAACAUCUUAUCAAGGCAUUAGAUUAUGUAAAUCAAGUUCCUUUGUCCUUCAGCUAUGUUGUUUAUAGUCUAACUCUGUUUUGAUAUGCUUGUUGCAGACUUCUUCAGGUUAAUGUAAUGAGACCUUGGUGGAUAAGUAAUCUUGAUCCAUUUAAUGGGAUGUGGCACCGGAAAACCAUCUGUUUAAAUUUAAUAACCAGAGUGGUUUUAUAGAUCUGCUUUUUAUUUUUUUUUUUCCUUUCAGUUUCUUGUCAGAUUGUAAGACAAUUUAAGGUGUAUAUACUUUGAAAUAUUCAGUUUAUUUAAUAUUUUCUAGCCUUUGCAUUAUUGAGAGUCAGACCAUCUUUUAGUUGUUUUGAAGAUUUAUGAUGCAUUUUGUGGGUUCUUAAGAGGCUAUACUUAAGCUCAAUAUGGGCUCUUCUUUCUUCAUUUGAGGAUCCCCUUCCGCUAGACAGUGCCGCGACAUUGGAAGGAGCCUGUGUUAAGGAGUUGAUUGUGUUUCAUGGAUGGCGAUAACUCAGCAAGGCUUUCAAGUUCUCAGAGUGAUGGCCCUCGUUGUUUGACACCCCCACUUUAAUCCAAGCUAAAAUAAACCUUAUUUCUCCCCACUCCUCGUUAAACUCCUUACUGGUGGUGUCUUCAUUUUCAAUACCCAUACUUGUAUGGCUAAACCUAACAGACAAAAUCAUUAGUGGUGGUGAGCAAAGACUAGGAUGCCUUCGGCAACUGGUCACUGCUAAUAACAAUAAUCUUGAUUCAAAGAAUGGCGGAUCCUUAGCCCGUCUGUCCGCAAUGCGUCAAGGGUUAUUGGCUGGUAAAAAUCACUUUGAUGAUGUGCUUACUUCCCCAUUUUUUUAAAACGAUUAAUUUCAAAUAUUUCCAUUGAUUUUAGACCACAAGAAAACCAACCAUAGAAUCUUCAAAAUGGCUUUCUACGCAAAUGCUGCUCGGAUUACAGUUUCGUUGGGAUAAAGUUUUGAGUUUCUUAUCAUUCUUCAAAGGCUCUGAUAUGUGGGAGUAAAGAACUUUAGAAACAAAUUAUGUGUAAUUAAAUUCAAAUCUGGUCAAGAAUUAUGGGAAUAGCAAUCUAUUUACACGAGUUUAGUUGGGAUUAGAAAUAAAGAAAAUUUUGUGACGUUUCCGCCGUAAGAGACCGUUGGAUUGGCAGAUUUUGACCAUGGGGGGCCGAGAUUGUGCCACGUCUCCACGCGCACCAUAUACCUUACUAUAUGGUUUUACACACCCAACCAUUCUUGUCUUAUUAGGGAGCAAUCUUGACCGUCGGAUCGUGCAUCAACGGUUCUUGAAGGCGUGCUCACCAUGCUUAUUGUUGAGAUGGUGACAUUAACCAUUUCUCACCCCCAUCUAUCGUAGAUCACGGGUUUUUUAUUUAAAUAUACCCCAUUUGUCCUUAAAUGCCAAAUCUAUACCCCAUUACAUACAUAUACCUCUUAAAAGUAUAAAAAGUCAAAAAUAACCUAAAAAAAUCAUCUAUUUACGUUUACUUCCUCUCUCAUGACUUCUACAUAAUAACACAACCAAAGUCGAGUAUACUCGACUUUUUACCUGACUUAAUUAAAAGGAAAAUUUUCAUUUCAAUUUAAGUCGAGUAUUCUCAACCAAUUACCGAACUUCAAUGAAAAGUCAAGAAUUUUUGCUGAAUGAAUAUUGGGUAAGGUUAAAUUAAAGUUGGGUAUUCUCGACUCUUUACUCUACUUACUUGAAAAAAUCAAGAAUUUUUCAGAUAAUUUUUUAUUUCAAUUGAAGUCGAGUAUUCUCGACUAUUUACCCGAUUAAUAUGAAAAAGUCAAGAAUUUAUACUGAAUUACUAAUUGUGUAUAGUUUGGUUGAAGUCGAGUAUUUUCGAUCAUUUACCCGACUUUGAGGAGUUGGGUUUAGUUUUAUGAGGAUUUAGUUGUGGUUAUUUUUGUAUUUUCUCUAGUUUUUUAGAGUAUAUAUAUGUAAAAUUUAAGAGUGUUAUAAUUUUAGGUAUAUAUUGGGUAUUUUGAAGGGAAUGGGGUACAUCCCACACAAUUCUCCCGUCUUGAAGACAUAAAUCAAAAUGCACUCUGUGUUCUGGGAAGAAGACGAGAACACUGUUCUCUUCAAGUUGCCUCUUGCCUCAGGGACGAAGCAAGAGGGUGUAAAGGUCACGAUAGAAGAUCAGAAGCUGUUCGUCUCAGAGGAAGCAGGCAGCUCUAUCAAUCAAUACUUUGGUAUGUAUGUCACUUUGCCUGAAGGUCUCAACCCGGAUGGCUUCGAGACCUCAGUGGAUCAGACGGGGCUCCUUACUGUCCGUUUCAAAAAACGUAUGCUUUCAUGUAGUACCGUAAAAAGCUCCUGCGACAUGGCUCCCAUGGGCUGGUUUGAGCCUGAUGAUAAAAACGGAGUUAUCCACUUCAAAGUGGGUCUUUCAGCAGAAACGAAGAAAGAAGAUCUCGUCGUCGGCGUCGUAGAUCGACAAUUUCUUAUAAUAGGCCAGCAGCGGAACGAGAAAAAGGAAGGAGGCUCCUGCGCGAGCUUCGUAGUGCCGCAUGGUGUGAACCCGGAAGGGUUUGAGACCUCCAUGGACGAACCGGGGGUCUUGACGGUCACGUUCAAGAAGAAGCCAUCGAAGGAUGGCAAGAAAAAGAAUAAAAAGAAAUUCAAAUCAAGGUUGCUCGGAGGUUUGGCUGAAGCGUGUCUCCUGACAUCUUGCAAGUGCGCUUGUGAUGAGCUUACUGGCGACGACUCCUAACUAAUAAUUAAGCUGGUGUUUGGAAUAUGGUAUUUCCUAUAUCAUGUUCUCCUUGUUGGUCGUUUUUUUAUGAGUGUUUUUUCUGUUUGAAAGAAAUAAACUCUGGACUAGUACUGGAGAACUCCAGAGCACAUGUUCCAAUUUACUCUUCUUCCUUUGGUUUGUCUGGGAGUUUUGUGUGUAAUAAUAUUAAUCAUUAAAAUAAGAGCUUUGUCUAUUUCCUUCUUCUUCUUCUUCUUCUUCUUAUUAUUAUUAUUAUUUCUUUUUCUAAGAACCAGUAAUUUCAGUUGUGUUAAAUGAUAUUGUGUGCGUUAAUUUUUUUUUUUCCUUUCUCCAAUUUUAAGGAUGGACUUUGAUUACCUAUAUAAUGACAAUCACAUGGGUAAACCAAGCAAACUAGAGUAGUUCAUCUAAUACAACUUUGUAUUUGUUUAAUGUGAACUCCGUGAUUGAUGCAACUUACAUCACUAUUAUAACGAAUCUCUUAUCUUUAAGAAUAAGUAACAGAGUAUUGGACAGCUGCGCUUAAAUCUUAAUUGAGUCAGAGUCCCCUAAGGUACUCAAUACUCCACUCACAUGAAGGUAUAGGUGGGGGUACAUUCAAUAACACUACAUAGGGUUUUUUUCAAUUGUUAGCGUAAAUUUGUUUGAUUAUGCUAUUCAGUUUUUGAUAAUCACUAUUUCAAAAUAUAAAUGUGCAAUUUGGUCAUUAGGAUACAAAUCAUAGCAAUUUUGAUAUUGUUUGUUAGGUGGAAAAAAGUUGUAGGGUAAUUACAUACACUUAGUAUAUUAUUAUUGCUAUUUGAAUGCCAUUGCUACAUUAACUGCAAUGACAUUUGGUUUGUGGCAUACUGAAUAAAAUUUCCUUUGAGCCUACAGGAACAGGACUGUCCUUGUAACCGUCCUAGUUCCUUAAUGGAUGUAUCUUUUAAGUCUUGCAUUUGGCAUAUGAAGUUUAUUGAAAGAAAGCAAAUGAUCAGGAGCUGGUCUUAAAAGCAUGUUCUUCGAGGAAUACAAUACAAACAGUAAUAGGUUUUGAGACAAUUCAUAGAGCUUUCCUUGAGUGAAAAAUAGUCACAUUACUAUUUAAACUGACACGACAUGCUCUUCUAGUUUAUUCAAAGAAUUAUGAGAAUAACCUCAGGUAUGUUAAUUGAAAAAUGCCCAAACUGGACAAGUCAUAUUCAUACCAUGUAACCCAGGUUCGUUAAUUUUAAAUUCCAAUUUAGUGUUCUGAUCUAUCUUCAUCUAUUUUAGCAUGUGUUUCAUAAUUCAUGCUUUAUUCUUCUUCUACUUUUUUUGUCCCCCUUCUUAGCUUCCAUUGGAUUAUUGAUGUGGUGAAAAAGGAAAUGUUCUAUUUGGAUCCCGAAAGGGCAAUCCUUAUCCGAAUUUAGACCAGAUCCUUAAAGCAUAUGUUUCCUUUCCAUUCGAUACCAUUCAUAUUUUAGGUUUCUUCAAUGUAUUUUAGAGAUACUCUUGUAGUUUUUCAUACAACGCCAUGAAACUGUUCACAAUAUAUAUCUAAGAUGAGAUUUGUGGAGGUUAAAUAAAUUACCUUACCUGAAUGCAGUGUGGCUACUACUUUUACUAACACAAAUGUAAUUUGUAAUUAACUUUUUGGUUUUUAACCGUGAAUAGACCCUGCAACAACCAGACCAUAUGGAGUGAGGCUAUUAUGUCAUGAGGUACAUGAAGAAUAUAAUAGCAUACAUUGAUUUGCUAAAGAACAAUGUGUGUUACUGAUGAAUAAUAUCAAUAGGUUUGGUUUGUAGCAUAUAUAUGUGGCGUUGAUUUGGAAGUUCAACAACAAUGAUUUUGUGGUUAACAGCUCAAUGCAAAGGACACCACACUCUAGCUGAAAUCAACAAACGACAUGCGUUUGGAGUGGGCUAACCUUUUUUCUAAAAUCCUUGUUGCAUCGUCAUACUAUAAAUGUGAAAUUAUAGUGCAGGGUGAUAGGGAGGGAACUCACAGAUGUACACAUGGAUAAGAAGUCAAAUGGAGUUGUACCGAAUUCAAAUGAUGCAUCUUGUGAUAAAGUUCAUGUGGCUCCAAAAAUCUCAGAAGACAAUGUUGAUCUAAAGGACUACAAGGUGAAAGAAUGCACUGAAGAAAUCUCGUUCAAAAAUUGUAAUGAGAAACAAGAAGAACUUGAUGUGGAAUGUAAAAAUUUUGAUGUUGAUGUAACUGAUGACACAAAUGACUAGCCGGAACUGCAAAAGUCAAACUCUCCAUCUAAAUCUCGUGGUCCUGCUAAUGUGCGUACAAGUCUCACUGUCCUACAGCCCUUUGCUCUGGCAACUGAAAAACGUGCUUCAGGCACAACUAGACAUGGUGGGGCUGAAACUGCAGCUGAUAGCAAUAAUGCGCAGUCCCCUAUGCCAAAGAAGACUUCACAGGUAACUUAAAUCCUCAAUUGGAUAAAUUGUGAAUGCUGCUAUUCUUUAUUAUUAAGUUGAAGGAUCAAUGAACUUAACGAGAAACUUGACAUUAACUACAGCCAAUAUAAUUGGUGGUCUGAAGAGGCAAAAGAAUUCCAACUAUUUGUAAGGAGUCAAGCAACUUUACCUAGCAAAUAGAUAACAAAUUCAACCAAUGGAGUUUGUACCUUAUAAAGUUGCCUAAAACUAGUUUUUCUUGCAUUAAAUAGUAGGUUUCCUUAGAUCUGUUCAAGAAAAAAUUUUAAAAAAAUCUUAAUCACUUAACUAUAUUUUCAUUUGAUUUUCGUGUUAGGAAUCUUUUCCCACUAUAUGCCUUCUUGAUUCAGUCUUAAUGCUUGAUUUAAUUGGAACUGCUCUACAUCAUAGCCUUUGUUUUGUUUUGCUUCCCUGGUGCAGCAUGGGGAAAUCCAUAGCUCAUAGAUCUGUAAUCUUGUUAUCCUAUUUGCUUUAACUUCAAAAAGAAUAUCUAGCUAACUGAAUAAGCAAUUUGUAUGGUGCGUGAAGUCUGAUGGGAAUUCAAAAUCAUCUUGAUCUUGUUUGCAAUGAUCAAUGUUGCACAAAUUAUGGAUUUUAAGUUGUUGCUAGUCUUUGAUAUUCUGCAAUUUCUUUUGGAAACUCACCCCUGAAUCACAGAAGCUAUUGCAACUUGAUAACAAGAAGCUUUUUGAUGAAUUCGAACCCUUUGUUUCUUAUUUUAGUGUGCUUUUAACUAUAUGCUUUUAACUAUUGUUGGCUUUGAUAUACAUAGAAUGGCAGCAUCUAUACACAAGGUAAUUGUUGGAAUGGCUCCAAAAUUUGGAUGUUCUGAACGUGCUAGGAAACAGGAGGAGGUAUUUUUCAUUUAUCAAAUAAUUAAAUAUAAAAUUUAUUUUCAAAUGUGUUAUCUAAAUAAUGUUUUUGUAUCUUCUUGUCAUUUCCAUCUUCUAGUUUUGUACUAAAUUAGAGCAAAAACACAAAGCUUUGGAGGAAGAGACAAGCAACUUUGAAGGUGCAUUUUCUUAAGUAUCUCUGAUGUACUGUGUCUGCAAUCGUCGUUUUAUCUUAUUGCAGACAUCUGAAGAUCUUUGUGAAAUAGUAAUGUUUGAGUUGAUGUUCUGAUGCCAUUUUUAGUUCUUACAAUAAUGAGUUGAUGUCCUUAUCUGUGUGAAUAUUUUUUUAGUUCUUACGAUAAUGCUAUUUGAUUUCUGAUAAUUAGUGAGUGGGUACGGAAAGCGAAUUAAGGUUCAUAAAUACAUAUAUGUUUACUUUCACGCACUUUUUGACCAAUUGCUGAGAGCACUAGCAUGGUAGAAUAGAUUCACACUUCAGCUUGAAAUCCCAAGCUGUUGAAACAGGCCGCAAUGAGGUCAGUUUUAUGUGCACUUUUUGUCUUGGAAAUAAUAUUAGCUUGAUUUUCCGCCUUAUAUUUUGAAUCAAUAUGAUAUUUCAAUUUUACAGUAUAGAUUUAUAUUGCAGUUUAGCUUCAGCAAGAGUGGCCGAUUUGAAUAGUCUGGUUAUGCUCAUCUGAAAAACGAAAUGGAACAUGUGAUUCCAAUUUCUUAAAUAUUUGAAAUAAUUUGAGAGUUUCAUUAAAGUUUUCUAAACAAUCAUGAUUAGCCUAGAAAUUUAUGAAAACUGCGUUCCUUUGCAAUGACUUAGUUUGAUUUGUCUUUUUUGGGAUUGUGUUUUCGGGUGCAGAGGCGGCUCUUCCGACUAAUACUCUGAGUAUGCCGUGUAUCUUUAUCCCCAUGGAAGGGAAGGUAUAUUUGGCAAUUGGCUGUGGGUUCAAGUUUAGAGCCGGCGAGUCAGCAGCCUUAACUGGCAUGGCUCUUGCUGAUCAUGUAAGAAAAUUAUAUGAUUUUCAUUAGCUCAUUGGCUUUACUUAUAUAGCUUCUAAUAAGUCUGGGACUUGACAUUCAUUUUUCACUGUGCUACAGUGUUAUAAACCUGGUUUACAACAUUGUAAAAGUUUGUUUACAGUUUUGUAAACACGUCCGGAACUCUAAGACAAUCCAAAAUUCUUGGAUUAGUGUGUGUAUGUAUGUGUGUAUAUAUAUAUAUAUAAUGAGAUCUGAUCAGGUAGGAGAUCUCGCUAUCCAAGAUCCAACAUGAUCAGCCUCAUCUUGAAGAGAGCUGUGCAGCUUUUUGCUUCCUACUGCACGGCUCUCACUCACACGCUUUUGGAGAGCGAGAUAUAUCGCCCACCUGAUCAAAGUCCUAUAGCUCUGCGUGUGUGUGUGUGCGAUGAUCAACAAUUAGUAUCAUGUAAAGUGAUCUAUAACACAGCAUUUAUAUUCCUAUAUGGGGGCAUUUAAACAUGAACUUUUAUACUUGGCAUCAAUUUAGUUUGAGAUAUCAGGGAAGGAAUUUCAAAAAUAAGCUGGAAGCUUGAUUAUUCAUAUAUAAAUAAUGUGAUCUACAUCGAUUGCAGAUUAUUUAGGAAGUGGUGGAGUUCGUACUAAGCAGUUAACAUGGACUAAAUUGUUGUUUCGUCUGACAUAUUGUUAGCUCAAGCAAUAGUAAUGAACUUGAGAGUGGCAGUUUUUGAAAUCUUUUGUACAUGUAUACGAGUUGUAUCAAGAUUCUGUGGACAUUCUUUCUUCUAAUUUUGAUCUAUGCAUCACAAUUUUAUGAUCCUUGUAUCUUAAAUCAAACUUUGUUGCUGCAGGUUCAAUAUUCUGGACUUCUUUUAUUGGGAGGCUACCCUUCUGAGUAUCUGCUUUCAAUUGUCACUUGCAGCUUCUAAUAGUUUGCAAACCAAAUAUGGUUUUACAUGUUCAUGCACUUGCAGUGUAAUUUGUUUAAUAUGUUUGGCUAAUACAAAUUUCAAAGACAAAAAACAAAACAAGUGAAACAACUAUUUAUCCCAAAUGUAUAUUAUAUAUAUUCGACAGCAUUGAACUGUUUUUUUUCCCCCUUCAAUUGUUACAAUUUUCACAUAUUAUAAUCUAAAAUCUAUUCGGUAUCUAGGUACAUACAUUUAGUAGUAUAAUCAAAAGGUCUGUGGGUCAUUAACUUGAAAAUAUGUUUCUACUAAUAUUUGGAGAAGUGUAUAUUGUAUGUGGCAUUGAACUUUUCUUUCUAUUUCUUUUUUCAAAAUUAUUACAAUUUACACACAUAUUUCAGUCUAAAUUAUUUAGUGAAAAUAAAUUAGAUAUCAAAUUAUGUCGUAACAAGAUAAAUCAGGGAGCAGGGCAGAAUCAAGUAUAAAACGUAGGAUGAGGAACAAGAUUAUAACGAAUAAAACUACCAGUAAAUGAUGACCACUUUAAUUUCCUCUGCACCUUCAUCUUCUCUGAUUCGUCAACCCCUUAAACGCCCAAAAUCCUCAAGACUCUCAAAAGCAAAGACACUAACUUCAACCAUUGAAGCAACUUCUUCUCAACCAAAACCCAACAACGCCAAUGCUAAAAAACCCACUUCAAGAAACCGCAGAAGAUCGUCGUAUGGCAGCUCGAGAAGGUCAGCUCGAGAAGGUCAGCUCGAUAAGAAAACAUUCGCUCAAGAGCAAGUCACGUUCACUGCACCUGUCUCCAGUGACCCCCGUGUGGGGAUUAUUGGUGGAGGCAUGGCCGGUCUCGCUUGUGCUUUGAGUUGGGAUAAGAGAGGUGUCAAGUCCACUGUUUUUGACACGGUUUGUCAUUCGUCUGGUUUCUUGGCUUUUUUUUUUUCUGUACUUUUGUGUUUCUGAUUGGAGAGCUUGAAGUGGGUGGCCAAUUCAAUUAUCUGUUUAAUAUGGUUAGGUUGUGUUUGUAUUUGAGAGUAUACACUCGUGUAAUGGUGAUUGAAAAAAUGUGCUGUUAACGGUCUAGCACGUGUUGUUAUGCAUCGAAUUUUGAUUAUAAGCAUGUUUUGGAGUUGAGGUAUUGUGACUUUUGACCCGCAUUUGUUGACGAAUGAAAUUAAAACAUUAGCUGCUAAAUAUAAGUGGGGGUUUAUCAAAUAUUUUAGUCAACCACAUUUAUAUAUUCUUAACACCGUGCUUUGCUAUAUCAGGGGAAUCAUGGCUUGGGAGGAAGAAUGGGAACCAGAAUGAUAGGUCCUCAACCACUGAUAUUUGAUCAUGCUGCUCAAUUCUUUAUUGUGAAUGAUUCUUGGUUUCGUGAGUUGGUUGAUGGUUGGUUGGAGAGGUGUCUGGUGCGACCAUGGAAGGUGUGAUUGGAGAGCUUGAAGUGGGUGGCCAAUUCACUCCAUUUCCUUCUUCACCUCCAAAAUACAUUGGUGUGAAUGGGAUGCGCCCUCUUGCAGACUCUUUAUUGGCCCAGGUGACAAAUCUUUAUUUUUCUUUUGUGUUCUUUUCUUGUUGAUUCUAUCAUGCUUCUUUGCAUUAAAAGGGGAAAAUUGUCUAAUUAAAUCACAAUGGUAAAAAACCGAAUUAUUGUUUUGAAGAAGGUAGUAUUGCUGCCUGGGUAUUCAAAGUCCCAAAAUCAUUAUACCGUUGAGGUUCGACCAGAGAACGAAGAUAAGAGUAUAUGAAACUAAAAGCUAUAAUUACAUGGUCACAUGAUUUUAACUGCUUAGGCUGCGUGACUAUACUUAAUGAAAUGUGCCGAUAAUGAUCAUAACUGACGAAAAGAAUAACCAGCAUGAACAUUUUGCACCGCUGUAUGAUGACUACAAUUCCUGUGAAGUAACAGGUUCCAUAUAUGGAUAAUGGAUUAUUAAUAGUGAGUUGGAGUUAGUUAUAUACAACAUCUUAAAUGGCAUACCUUUACUUUUAAAUCAUGUAAAUAAGUUCCUCUGUCCCUCAUGCCUUGGCUUAAUUCAUUUUGAUUCUUGUUGCAGACCUCUAUGUUUAGCAUAGUGAGACCUUGCUGGAUAAGUAAUCUUGAGCCAUUUAACGGGAUGUGGCACUUGAGCGAGAAUGUGAAACUACGUGGGCAGUUUGACGUGGUUGUUAUUGCUCAUAAGGGUGAUUCAGUGUUGCUAUCCUUUCUCGUUUUCUCUCUCUGUGGAUUGUUAUAGUCUUACCUUUGCAUUCCAAAAAUGCAGGUUAUUGUUUUUUGCAGUUGCAUGAAUGUGACAAUUGGCUUUGCUAUUGGAAAAAAAUAUAUCUAUAUUUCUGAUUUUACUCUCUAUCAUUACAGUGGAUUAGGAGUGGCAAAUAAUCUGGUUUAUUACAGGGAAGCCCUACCCAAAUCCGAACUCCUAUGGAAGGGGUCCCUCUCCCUAACCAUCCUGGAAUACCCCGGGGGGUUAGAAUGCAUUUAGUGUUACAUUAUAUGACUUUGUAGUUCGCUGAGUUCUUAUGUUUUCUGGGAUACUAGGACUUCAAAAAGCACUGAAAACUUCAUAGAAUUUCAUACUGAUUUUCACUGUCAAUUUGGAGAAAAUGAUGGCUAGAUUAGAAGUAAGAUUAAGAGCAACUUGUAAAUUUAAUCAACUGGAAGACUGGUAUUGAAUGGCUAUUAGUUAGGUUAGAAUAAGAUGAGCCAGACUUUCAAGCUGUGCCAUGCAUUCAAGGGCCGUUGAGUAUUACGUAGGUUGUUAUGGAAGAGUUAAAAAAUAUCUAUAUAAAUUUAACAACCAGAUUAGGUUUCUAGAUCCAGAAGUCGAGGUUAUGUUUAUUUGCUUACUCUUUCGACUGUUAAUUGCCUAUGUCUUUUCCUGUUUACAUUUUGGCUUAGCUUUGUAAUAAUAGUUCCUUCAUGUAAUGAUAGGAAAAUGUGCAAACCGGUUGCUUGGUUCAUCUGGCUUACCUCAAAUAGCUAGACAAAUGAAGGUAUAUGCAUUGAAAUAUUCAGUUCUUUUAAUAUUAUCUAGCCUAUGUUUUAUUCAGUAUUGGCCAAUUCUAAUUAUUUUGAAGAUUCAUAAUGCAUUUGCCUGGUUUGUAGAGGCUGGAACUAAGUUCUAUAUGGGCCCUUCUUGCUGCAUUUGAGGACCCCCUCCCACUGGGCAGUGCAUCAACAUUUGAAGGCGCCUUUGUGAAAGGUGUUGAUUCUGUCUCAUGGAUGGCAAAUAACUCAGCAAAACUUUUGAAUUCUCAGAGUGAUGCUCCUCACUGUUGGACCUUCUUCAGCACCGCAGCUUACGGAAAACGAAACAAGGUUCCACAGGUCAGUUUGUAUAUAAAUGUGGGUCCAACUGCAACAGCAGAGAAGGUGAAAAAAGGUAUGCUCGAGGGUGUUGAAGCUGCACUUGGCCGACCGAAAGGUUCACUUCAGAAGCCCAUUUAUACUCGAGUCCAUUUAUGGUAAGACUCCACUUUUAAGGACAUGACCUUGUAAUUUCAUUUUUUUAUCUUGUCCAAUUUGGAUCCUUGUAACCUACUUGACCUGUAAAUAUUUGCUGUUGGUGUUGGUUUAGAAUGAGUGGUUGAUUUGAACAAGCUUAAAAAGUUAUUGUGUGGACUUGUGUAUAGUCCUAGUUCUAUUUUCCUGUUACGCUCAUUUUUAAAAAAAGAUGGAACAUGUCAUUCCAAUUUAUUAAAUAAAUAAAACAACUUCAGAAUUUCAUGAUUAAGAAAAUAGUUCCUAUGUGAUGAAUUAG